UGAGCUUGAUCCUGGCUCAGAUUGAACGCUGGCGGCAUGCUUUACACCAUGCAAGUCGAACGGUAACAGGGUGCUUGCACCGCUGACGAGUGGCGAACGGGUGAGUAAUAUAUCGGAACGUACCUAGUAAUGGGGGAUAACUAUCCGAAAGGAUAGCUAAUACCGCAUACGCCCUGAGGGGGAAAGAGGGGGAUCGCAAGACCUCUCGUUAUUAGAGCGGCCGAUAUCAGAUUAGCUAGUUGGUGAGGUAAAGGCUCACCAAGGCGACGAUCUGUAGCGGGUCUUAGAGGACGAUCCGCCACACUGGAACUGAGACACGGUCCAGACUCCUACGGGAGGCAGCAGUGGGGAAUCUUGGACAAUGGGCGCAAGCCUGAUCCAGCAAUGCCGCGUGCGUGAAGAAGGCCUUCGGGUUGUAAAGCGCUUUUGUUCGGGAGGAAAUCCUAGUGGCUAAUAUCCAUUGGGGAUGACAGUACCGAAGA
rnacentral:rRNA from 1 species